GACGAACGCUGGCGGCGUGCUUAACACAUGCAAGUCGAACGGAAAGGCCCUGCUUUUGUGGGGUGCUCGAGUGGCGAACGGGUGAGUAACACGUGAGUAACCUGCCCUUGACUUUGGGAUAACUUCAGGAAACUGGGGCUAAUACCGGAUAGGAGCUCCUGCUGCAUGGUGGGGGUUGGAAAGUUUCGGCGGUUGGGGAUGGACUCGCGGCUUAUCAGCUUGUUGGUGGGGUAGUGGCUUACCAAGGCUUUGACGGGUAGCCGGCCUGAGAGGGUGACCGGCCACAUUGGGACUGAGAUACGGCCCAGACUCCUACGGGAGGCAGCAGUGGGGAAUAUUGCACAAUGGGCGGAAGCGUGAUGCAGCAACGCCGCGUGCGGGAUGACGGCCUUCGGGUUGUAAACCGCUUUCGCAGGUGACGAGGCGUGAGUGACGGUAAUGGGUAAAGAAGCACCGGCUAACUACGUG
rnacentral:rRNA from 1 species